CAGCCCGAAACCAAAUCAUUUAUUCAAAAUUAUUUCAUUUUAAAUUAUUUUAGAUUUCAUUAUUUUGAAGCAUUUAAAUUGUGAAGUCAUUGAAAAUUUUGUUAUAUAUCAAGCUCAUGAAUUGUCUAGUCGCGCCCCUAGUUAGAUAUAUAACUUUGAACCAUAAAUUAUACCUAUAAAAAAAUAAAGAAUCUGUACAGCUCAAUAUUUUAAUAUGAAUUUGGGCCUAAAUCAAUUUAUGUGCCUAAGGUUAUUUACGAUGGGCUUUAUUAUUGGGCUAUAUAUAUAAAGCAAGCCCAUAUAUGUGUGAAGUUUAUCUGAGUUUUAAUUUUAAGAAGUUUACGUGCUGUAUGUUUACAUCAGCCACUUGUUUCCAUUCAUCAAAUUUCAGCCACGUAGCAAUCAAAUUGCUAUUACAUUUUAAUUCACCAGCCAACCAAUAUCAUCCCCAUUCAAACAGUAUUACAUUUCCUUUGAAAUCGAAAAUCAUACUCAAUAAACUACAAUCAUUAAGAUCUUUCAGAUGCAGAGUUUUCAGCCUGAUUUCCUCUCCAGAUAUCAGUAAUCCCAUUAUUUAUGUGCGGCGCGACUAGGGCAUGAAUUUUGAUUGAAUUACUUAAGUUAACUUUCAAGUUGAAGUUGGAGUUCAAGUUCAAGUUAAAUCUUCAAGUAUUUUCACGUUGGAGACGCGUGGAGGGUCGAAUGGGCGCAUCAAGUCAUUUUGAAAAUAGUUGAUUCAAAUAUUUAAAGUUUUACUUAGUAGUUAAACAUUUUCAUGAUAUCUUUAUGUCAUGCUUUGGAACGAAGGUGUUGAUUUUUGAUU